rnacentral:rRNA from 1 species
UACGGAGGGUGCCAGCGUUAUCCGGAUUCACUGGGUUUAAAGGGUGCGUAGGUGGGUUGGUAAGUCAGUGGUGAAAUCUCCAGGCUUAACUUGGAAACUGCCAUUGAUACUAUCAAUCUUGAAUACCGUGGAGGUCAGCGGAAUAUGUCAUGUAGCGGUGAAAUGCUUAGAUAUGACAUAGAACACCAAUUGCGAAGGCAGCUGGCUACACGAAUAUUGACACUGAUGCACGAAAGCGUGGGGAUCAAACAGG